AUCCAUCUGACGAGUCCCAUAUAAGAAAAACGCGCGUCCUGGAU
rfam:Schistosoma curassoni strain Dakar, Senegal genome assembly, scaffold: SCTD_contig0006269